UCGGGGUGCCCAGGCGCGAAAACUUUACAAUGCUGGCAACAGCGAUAAGGGGACCUCGAGUGCCAGGAUACAAUCUUGGCUGUCGUGAUGCCUAAAAAGCAUUACAUAGCAAGGGCCGGGCAAGACCGGUGCCAGCCGCCGCGGUAACACCGGCGGCUCGAGUGGUAACCGCUAUUAUUGGGUCUAAAGGGUCUGUAGCCGGCCGGAUAAGUCUCUUGGGAAAUCCAGCAGCUCAACUGUUGGGCUUCCAGGGGAUACUGUUCGGCUCGAGGCCGGGAGAGGUGAGAGGUACUUCAGGGGUAGGGGUGAAAUCUUGUAAUCCUUGAAGGACCACCAGUGGCGAAGGCGUCUCACCAGAACGGUCCUGACGGCAAGGGACGAAAGCUAGGGGCACGAACCGGAUUAGAUACCCGGGUAGUCCUAGCCGUAAACGAUACUCGCUAGGUGUCGGCCACGGUGCGACCGUGGUCGGUGCCGUAGGGAAGCCGUGAAGCGAGCCACCUGGGAAGUACGGCCGCAAGGCUGAAACUUAAAGGAAUUGGCGGGGGAGCAC
rnacentral:rRNA from 1 species